rnacentral:lncRNA from 1 species
GAGGGGACAGGAGGGGCAGAACCAGAGUCAGGACAUUCAUUGGCUAAUUUCCUGUUCUUGGUCCCUCUCCCCCAUUAAGCCACAACCUCCCCCACACCAGAGCAGGCACCAGGUCCUCCUCGUCACAAGUGCCAGGCAUAAAGCAGGCACUCAAUAAACAUCCAGGAAGGAGACGGCAGGGGAGGAGGCGACAUGAUGACUCCAGGACCCAGAGUGGAGGGAGAACACUUUCAGUCGAAGGAGCCUGGGACCCUUGACACAGAAGUGACAUGUGCAUUCGGAACCUCUCUGUGGAAAACACAGACCCUUCAUGACACGCAAACUCGAAGCCGGUGAGGCCGAGUCUCAGGGCUGCGCCAACCAGGAAGCCUGGCUGUCCAAUGUUCCAAAUCUGGAUGUGAAAUGGACCAUGCAGACAGGACCCAAGGGGCAUGGGGGAGCUGGCAGAGGCACCCGGGACAAGUGGGGAAGCACCUGUCGGCCAGGAAGGUAGAGAGGCACCUACCCCAGAACACGGUGCCAGCGUCACACUCUUAUUAACAGAUGCAAUAACCACCUUCGGAGACCAGACCCCUCAAAGAGCACUCAGCCCACAAUGUGACGCAGAGAAACCAGAGACCCAGGCAGGGAGUGCACCCACGGGGACACUCCGAGGGUGGCCUCCUGCCUGCCCUGAUUACUUAAAAAGGAGAUUCUUGGAAACCUUUGCGGGCCCACAGGUGCACCCUGACUCCCAGGGAUGGGGGCUGAGCCACCCAGGAAACAAAUAUGAAAUCAAAGAUCCAGACAGCCCUGACCCUCCUGAUUCCAGGGUCCAUAAAUAAGUCAUUCUUAAAAUAGUGGUUGUUUUCUCUCUAAAAAAAAAAAAAAAAA